CUGGGAUCGGCUCAGAAUGAAGCCGGGAGCUCGGCGGGGCGGCUUUUAUCCGCACUAGCCGGGGCCACACGAUCCGGUUUCCCUGCAUUUCCAUUGGUGGAAGGCGGCACGUCCAUCAGACCGUACGGGCAGUCCUAUUGGCAGGACCCUCGCCCUAGGGUGUCCCCCGACAAGCUUGCAACACCUCGGAGCUUUCAGCAGCCCCGAAUCACAGCGACAGGAGCAAGGUCUUCACGGUAGAGGGAAAGCCACCGUCCACGGUGACCGACGGAAUGUCAUCAAAAUAGCACUUCUGAAGAAAGUGAUAAGGCAAAUAAGUUUGCCAUUGACAAGUGACAUUUGUAGAGUGAAUUCGGUCUCUAAGACAAGGGUAAGCUAUGUAAAAAAACCAAAACAAAACCCCAAACCAAAACACCCACGCACGCAUUCACCGACAGGUUGUGUGGGAUCUGGCACCGCGAGCAACGCGGGAAGCAGUAUUGUAAACUGAGUACUUACUGGAAAUCGUGCCGAUUGCAAAGGAGACCGACCAGAGGCAGGACGCUUUCAGAAUUCCUUUUCCAGAACAGGGCAGGGUUAUUAUAAUGAUCCUAUUAAUCGGAAAUCAUUAGGGAAAUUUGCAUAUUGAAGCUUAUUUACAUACACUGCCCUUGAGAGGCUGCAGGUCUGUGCCUUACAGUGUAGGUGGCAAAAGAAUGUGAUUAAUUAUGCAGAAAUAGUGAUUGCUGGUGUCACAUUCCAGCACUUACAGUAUUUUUAAAGCUUUAUGGCAGCCCUAGCCAUUGAUCGACAUCUUCACAUUAUAUAAAAAACAUUCUGUCAUAUAUGAAGUUUGAAAUCUCUGUCCUGGUCCCGAGUACAGCUUCAGGGUUUUUCCUUUUUCUUUCUUUCUUUUUUUUUUUUAAUUUGCUGUAAAUCUUUAAGAACUCAUUCCUGUAGUCUAAAUAAAAAAUGUGCAGCUAUUUACUCAAAUACUUUUCAGUUACUUCAACACCUAAUUCAACUGAAGACCACGGAUAAAUUAGUUGUGCUUUGAGCCUUUUAUUUUUCCAGAAAACAAUAAACUAGAAACUUCGAGAAAAUGUAGUAGUUGAAAGUAUCUUGCUUACUUUUGUCUCAAUCUCCAUCUCCUUUGCAUGUAAGAAAGAGGAAGGGGCAGAAGAAAAAGAAAGGCUAAAUAAUGGAGAAUCAGUAGUUUUCCCUUCUAUUGAUGAAUUCCUCAGCUGGUGGGCCAGCAGGUCCCUGUCACCAGCUGCAGCCAUGUGCCUGCCCCAGGGCUUCUCUUUAGGGAGGCAGAGUUGGUGGUGCCGAGGUGAUGUGGCACUUUCAAAAAUUCCAGCCACUUCAGUUUGGAGACGGAGGUGGAUGGUUUCCUGACCAGCAGAGAAGUCUGUGGAGGGUCUGGCCCUGCCAAUGCCGCCUGCAACUCCGUUCCUGACAGUGUUCGAUUAACAACCUCUCCUCUGAUAUUAAGUCUGGAAAUGAUUUAACACCCGAAUCCCCCACAGUUCGAGCCUUUUGAUGUACUUUGUGUGCAUGUGUUUCUGUCACAUACAUGCCACAGUGGAACAGAUUUUGUUUUGACACUAUUUUGGUUCAUGAUGUUAUACUUUGACUAUUUUACAAUAAUAGCCAACGUAAACAAACAUCUUUGGGAUUCUCAAAUUAUUACUUGUGAUUCUUGGACAUUGCGGCUCUGCGAUACUGACGCAUUCCUAGCUUUUUCCAAGGACACCGUAUGUUAACAUUCGUGCCAGCCUCAUUAUCCCAACAGCCAGACUGGUUCGUAAUGAGCCUUGUGCAGUACUGCUUUACACACUUGCAAAGUUGAUCAAGGCAGUGCCUUCUCCCAUGAUCAUUUUUGUACCCUGAUGUAGUAAAACUGCUAAAUAUGGUGAGCAUUUUCUGGUGUUUCUUUCUUUAGCUGCCAUGUCAGAGUCCAGUCAGCUCGAUUGUGUUGAAUCCGAUUCGACUGGCACCUACCCAGUUGUACAUUCAUUUUAAAGAUCAUUUUAAGGGGAUUAUGAGGCUGUAUAAGUUAAUGAUUUCUAAAAAAAUACCUGCGUUACUAGUAUGUCUGUCUCAGGAAGUCCAAUACGAAAUUACCUUAAAAAUUGUGUUUUCGUGGGGAAAAUGGUGCUGGAGCAUUGUCGGGGUGGGUUAAAAGGCAUUGAAAAAUCCGUCAAUUGGUGUCUCUGUGGGUUUGCAUUUGAGGCCUCUAAAGUUCAAACGGUCCCAGCUGCCGAAAGGGGCAUGGAUUUGCUAGAUUCGUGGGUGGUGGCAAGGUGUGAAGGGCUUCCGGUGGGGGUGGCGGCACCGUCGCCUCCGCUCACCCGCCGGGACGCCCUCCACUUAAAGCUCCCCCGACCGGGCUCCGGGGCUCAUUCCCUCUGUCUCCGUCCCGAGCCGGCCGGCGGCUCCCCACGCUCUGGCCCCUCGCGGUAAUCAGAAGCAGCUCCGGCCGGGCCGCGGCCGCCCGUGCAAUCCCCGCGUGAUGCAACGGGGGCGGGAGGAGCCUGCGGGGGGCUCGAGAUCCGCCCUGCACAUCUGGCGCAAUUGGGAGCGCUCGCCUUUCUUCCCCCCGGUUUUGUUCUCACAGCUGUGUCCAUUCCGCCUGUGACCCCCCGAGUGAUCCCUGACAGGUGAUGAAUUGGCGGCGGCGGCGGCGGCGCGCGGGCCAGGCCGCGGCGGGGCCGGAGCCGGAGCUCCGGAGCAGACUCUCUGGCGCCAGGCGCGUGACGCCGCCCAUUCACGCCGCCCUGCAGCCUUGUCCUCGCGGCGCCGCUCAGGCGGCUGCCAUGGCAACCGCGCCGUCACUCAGCGCGCGCGCCCAGCUGAUCAAUGCCUGCGAGGCCCGGCGGUCCCAGGCUCGCCCCGGCGCGGCCGCCCGGCCCGCGCGCACCUGCAGCCGCCGCCCGUCUUAAGUUUCGAGCGAUUUGGGGGAAGGAAGGAGGACCGAGAAGGAAAGCCAGGGGAGGGAGGGUCGGGGGCAGAAGGAAAAAAGCCGGGAGAGGAAGAAGAAAGAAAUCUUCCUUUUGCAGAAAGAGGCAUAUUGGGGCUUAGAGGUUACCAAAGCACAAGGUUUUACUUUGUUUUGCAACCGAGGCGUUCAGGGUGAGGCUGGCGCGAGGGAAGGUGGAUGGGGAGAAGAGGGCUUAGUGGAUGGCGAGAUUUAUUUAUCCCUUUGGAUCCUCUCGGGGAUGACUUUGGUGCUGGACUCCUAAAAAUACCUUUGAAGGACCCCCCACUGCCCCCCGCCCCUCUCCUCGGAACUAUUGGAGGUUGCCCUAAGAACAUCAGAUUUCUCCAGACCUCUCCACCCCUUCGCCCCAGGGAAGGCGGGAGGAAGUGCAGCCGGGACUGUGGCUUCGAGCCUCUGCGCUCCCGCGGACCCGCGUCCGCGUCCUCGUUACCACUCCAAAGCCGGGCAGACACAGCCCCUUUCCAAUGCUGCAUUUUUCUUCUGUGAACAUCAAGACGCAUCAAGAGACUUCCAAGUUAGCCUGCGGGCGCAGACGCCGCUUCGGUCCUGGCUUUAUCUCUAGGGAAACUUCCGUUUUUAGAGCCAGAUGCCAACAUUCCCGGACAGUUUAUGGCAUCCGGAUCCCUCAAGGGCGCUCAUCUGCAGUUUAGAGUGUUAGCAGCAGUUGCUUGUCGGCUGUCCUGGAGAAGAAAUCCCGAACACGGAUGUCCUCUGCUGGCCCUGAAGGGGGUUGGGGGGAGGUGCACAACUGUUCCCGAUGCUCUUAUCUGGGUUAGCAGAGUUUGUUGUGGUUUUCGAGGAAACAGCAUCUGGAUUACAUAAGGAUUCAAGUUUUUGCUUUACUUGUUUAUUGAAUACCUUGGCAAGAGGUGGCCCUUACUCUGAAACCAGAUAACCGAAUUUGGGUCUAAAACAGCCUUAGAUAGGGGCGACUAGAGGGGAGGAAAGGAGCAGAGCCACAGAAAGCAAACCACGGGGAUGUUUAUUUUUCUCCCUUUGGGUAUUUUUUUUAAGACCGGCCCAAGCUCCUCCACUUCUUGACGCACAAGCUAGUGACUGCAUUAACAACGCGCCUGAGCUACCACAACGGCGUAGCAGUCAUCCCUUCCCCCACACCACCACGAUCCGGCCCUAAUUCCUUCUAGGAUCGGCGCGCGGUCCUGUUUGCCCAGGGAUCUCAAGGGCACCAGGAAAAAUGCCGUGCUAAAUCCAAUUGCUUUCAACCGUCUGAUCUUCCUGUAAGGAGAUCACCUUUCAGCUCCGUUCAAAGAAAGCAAAGUUUGGGAAGUUCGGCGGAGGGGCCGAUUUAACUACCAGCACAGCAAAUAUUUAGUUACAAAUGCUGUGAAGGGCCCCGAUUUGUGGCCGCGCUUGGCUUUCACAAAGGAUUUUCCUGUGACUUUUGUUCCGGUCACCAAAUUAAAAAAGAAAAUUAACUUGAGCGAGAGAUAAGGUCUUGGAAAACAAUCCCGGGCCGCCCGCGAGCUGGCGGGCGCGGGGCUGGCGUCGCCGAGUCUACGCCGCCCCGAGGCGCGCGUCGUGGGGUCCGGCCCCAGCUGGGACCCUCAGCCGCCUCGCCCUCCCCGCGUCGGAGCGCAGCGCCCAGGCCUCCUUGGCGUCCGCCGGCGUCCGUGGGAAUCCGCCGCAGCCCCCUCCAGACGGCGACGAGGGCAGGCUUGCACGGAAUCGACCUACGUCUUAAUAUUAUAAUGCGGCACCAAAAGCAAAACCCCAGGCUCCAGCUUGAGAGCCCCUAACAAGAAACACAUUGUGUACUUUUUUUCUUUCUGGCCGAAGCCACGUUUGCGCGCCAGCCGGGACGCAGCGCCAAGUCCGUGACUUCAGUGGGGAGGAACCAGGGGAGGAACCCGCCCGCCCCGCAGCACGUGCGCGCCCGACGGGGGUGGCCUCCCCACCGCGACCCUCGCCGGGGCCGCCUCCAGGGCCCAGGCGGGGAGCCGAGGGGGGUGCGCUUGGCGGACACGGGUCCUGGGCGGGCGGCGCUUUGGGCAUAGCCCUUUGGCGACCAGAGGCCGGCACGGCCCCACACCUGAGGCCUGGCGGCACCAGCGCGGUAACUGUAAUCGCUGAUCUUAGGUUGAGUUGAUAGACUUGUUUAUAAAAUGAUUUUGACACCCAUCCCUGACCUCCUGCCUACAGCUGGAUGGCUUUCACUUCCCUGUCCUUUUUUCACUUUACUGUGUCCCCUUCCUCACCCCCACUCUGCCAAUCUCCAUGACAAUUUACAUACCUCUUUCCCAGUUAGACCGAAAUCACAGAACAUUUUGCAAGGCCCUUGAUACCUGUCACGUGUCACUGCUACCCCAUUCUGCAAAAGGGGACAGGAUCUAGGGCUGCAUCCUCUGGGAGGCAAGUGCUGGGGACUUCGGGAGCAGAAGGUACCUGUAGGGACUCCUGCAGCAGUCCCUCGGCACCUGCUAUCAGCAUUCUGGGGGUCCUAACAUCUUCCCAGUGCCAGGACCCAAUGACACCAGGGGCCUGGGUCUGCUUCCAUGCUGCAGCACCCAUCAGCAGGACCCUGGAGGAAAGGCCAGGUGAAUUAACUCCUAUAUUUUAUUUUAACCAUGCCUGCCUUUCUGGAACUAUGUGAGGAGCACAGAUAUUAUAUUUUAAAGAAAAAAGAGCCACAUGGUGGUCCUUUUUAAGGGAGAUUAAACAUUUGCACUGGGUAAGAAUAAUGAAUUAUUUACAAGCCUUUCACAGCUCACCUGUUUUGCCCUUUACCUUGACCUGAUGAGUUAGGCAGGGCAGAUGCUGACCCCAUUUUACAGAAGAAGCUGAGGCACAGAUGAAUGGGCCCAAACUCCCUGGGACAACCUUCUGUGACCAUGCAAAGUUGGUGCAAUUUGCCUUCUGGGAAAGAAUGAGCCAUCUUGGACCUGAGGACCAACACAUUUGUUUUCAGAAAACUUAAGAGGACAAGGUAAGUCUGUUAUAUUUACCUAUGUUUUUACUUUUUCCCUGUUCUUUCUUCCUUCUUGAUGUUCUAGUGUUCUUUCUUUGAUACUUUCUCUUCUGUUUCAAGAGCAUCCUUUAGAUGUUCUUUUAGGGUAGGUUUGUUGGUGACAAGUUCUCUUAGUUUUCCUCCAUCCGAGAAGGUCUGGUUUCCCCUCAAUUUCUGAAGGAUAUUUUUGCUGGAUGUUAAAUUCUGGGUUGGUAGUUCUUUUCUUUCAGCAUUUGACAUAUUGUGUCACUUCCUUCUGGCCCCAUGGAUUGUGAUGAGAGAUCUGCAGUCAUUCAAACUGCUUUUUCUCUGUAGAUAAAGUAUUGUUCCUCUCUGCCCACUUUCUUUGUCUUUAGUUUUCAGAAAUGUGCCUGUGAUGUACCUUGGUGUAGACUGCUUUGUGUUAUUCCAGUUUGGGAUUCUCUCAGCUUCUUGAAUCUGUAGGUUUUAAGACUUUUGCCAAAUUUGGAAAAUCUUCAAUCGUUAUUUCUUCACAUACUUUUUCAGCCCCACCUUCUUUCUUCUCCAGGAUCCUAAUAACAUGAAUAUUAGCUCUUUUAUUAUAGUCUCACACACAGACAUAUGAGACUAAGGUUUUUUUAUUUUUAUUUUUUAUUCAUUUAUUUUAUUACUCUACUUUGUUUUGGUUGUACGAAUUGGGUACUUUCUGUUGUUUUAUCUUUGAGCUCACUGAUUGUUUCCUCUCUCCUCUCCAGCUUGCUUUUGUGCUCAUCCAGUGAGUUUUUUUCUUUGGCUAUUGGAUUUUUCAGCUCUAAAAUUUCCAUUUGUUUCCUCUUUAUAUCUUCUGUUUCUUUGCCAAGAUCUUCUAUUUGGUUUUCUGUUUUUUGGAGCAUCUUUGUAAUUGCUCAUUGAAAGCUUUGUGAUGGCCCAGAAGAGCCCUAGGAUGACCCCACUCCAACACCGGCUGACCACACACACACUCACUGGAAGCCAAGCAAUAAGAUCACGAGAGAGAGGAAAUUGUUGUCUGAAGCCACCCCGUUUGUGAGUGGUUUGUUACAUUGAUAAUGAGAUGGCCACCAAAAGAAAAAUUAGAGGGGGCAUCAGAGUUUCUAAGAAUGACUUUGUGCAUGCAUUGUAAUUAUAAUCAUUGAUAACUUAUUUGGCCUUUUCUCCCCUGAAAAUAACUUUUUUUACAACACAUAAUUUAUAAUGAAUAAAAAAGCACAUCCUCACAGCCAAGAAAAGUGCAUCCCUUGGAAAGAAAUGCAUGAUGUUUUAUUUGACAACUUAGGGUCUAGUACAUAUUUAGGAAUACAGUGUAGGUCCUUUUUUAACCAAUCAGAAUCCUUACCAACUUUCCCCCAAGGUAUAGACUGUAUAAACAAAUGUGGUGUUUAUAUUUUUUUUGGGACCAAACCAAGUAGGAUAAAGGGCCCAACAGACUCCAGAGCCCCAGAAAGGACGAGGAGGCUGAGUGGUUGAGGAAGGUGGCUGAGUGAGGGCCUAAAGCUUCCCUAGUGAGGGUGUAAGAGCAUCUGGUGCCUCCAGACAUUCUAGAAACUGUAUCAGAGAAACAUCUCAAAGGCAUCACUUCCCAUCAUCAAAACUUGUAGGAGAUUUUAACAUUUUUUUCUUUACAAGACAUUUAGAAUUUGGGUAUGGGAUUGUCAUGCUUCCUAGUUAGGACCAACCUCUUUAUCUCAUUGUCUUGAUUUGAUGUCCAGAGUCUCCUGUGAUACUGUUUGCCCUUCAGAGGACACCACUGGUAUGAAGACGGUAAGGCUUGAGUGCUGAGAAGGGGCAAUAGCUGUUGGCAGCUGCCCAAAAGCCUCUAUCUUGCCCUGUGACCCCAUCCCCACGUGGCCACUUCUGAUCCUGAGAAAAGAGGCAGGAAUGGGUUGAUGCAACUACAAUUCAUUACAUCCUGCUUUGAAGUCAUGAGUCCCGUAUUCCCAGUCAGGGGCCCCAAUAAAAUGCAGAAGAGCAGAACUCUUGCAAUAAAGUGUCCCAGUUCUUUUGGCCACUGCUAGUGUGUGUGGGGGGGUGUGCUUGGAGGGAGGUGGGAGCUAAAGGCUCCCGCCUCUGUCCCUUUCAAGAACCCUUGAAAAAGCCUUGGCCUUUAGGGGCAGCUUUAACAUGGCCCUCUGUUUCUUUAUGCUUCGUGAGCAUCUGCACACCUGACUGCAGUGUGUCCCCAGGUGAGUCGCGGUGAGCUCUGGGCUCCCAGCUUCUCCAUCUGCAUGUUGAGGUUUAAAUAAGGUAGAAGACCAGAGGAAGCAUUUCAACUCGGAAUUUACCCCUCAAAGUGAGUCUGAGAACCGGCAGCCUGGGCACACUGAGAAAUGCAGGAUGUCGGGAUCUAACCCGUGAGAAUGAACCGGAAGCUGCAAUUAACCAGAGCCUGGAUGGCUCCUGGGCAGCGAAGCUGAGACGUGUGGAACUGACAUUCUAUCUGAGACUGUGGACAGAGCCAUCUAGCAAAAAUGCUCACACACUCACCUUUAAAGUAGCAUCUUUUCAAGAGCAACACCAUCCCUUUGAAUCACUUAGCAGACUUAACAGCACUGCUGUCUCUGGCUUUCACAUUGACCAGCAGCGCAGGGAGCAACGG